GACGAACGCUGGCGGCGUGCUUAACACAUGCAAGUCGAACGGAGAGGCCCUGCUUUUGUGGGGUGCUCGAGUGGCGAACGGGUGAGUAACACGUGAGUAACCUGCCCUUGACUUUGGGAUAACUUCAGGAAACUGGGGCUAAUACCGGAUAGGGCUUCCGCUUGCUGGGUGGGGGUGGGAAAGUUUCGGCGGUUGGGGAUGGACUCGCGGCUUAUCAGCUUGUUGGUGGGGUAGUGGCUUACCAAGGCUUUGACGGGUAGCCGGCCUGAGAGGGUGACCGGCCACAUUGGGACUGAGAUACGGCCCAGACUCCUACGGGAGGCAGCAGUGGGGAAUAUUGCACAAUGGGCGGAAGCCUGAUGCAGCAACGCCGCGUGCGGGAUGACGGCCUUCGGGUUGUAAACCGCUUUCGCCUGUGACGAAGCGUGAGUGACGGUAAUGGGUAAAGAAGCACCGGCUAACUACGUG
rnacentral:rRNA from 1 species